GAAUUACUGGGCGUAAAGCGCACGCAGGCGGUUUGUUAAGCUAGAUGUGAAAGCCCCGGGCUCAACCUGGGAAUAGCAUUUAGAACUGGCAGACUAGAGUCUUGGAGAGGGGAGUGGAAUUCCAGGUGUAGCGGUGAAAUGCGUAGAUAUCUGGAGGAACAUCAGUGGCGAAGGCGGCUCCCUGGCUCGAUACUGACGCUGAG
rnacentral:rRNA from 1 species